rnacentral:rRNA from 1 species
AACCGUGCGAAGGUAGCACAAUCACUUGUUCUCUAAAUAAGGACUAGUAUGAACGGCAUCACGAAGAUUAUACUGUCUCCUUUCUGCAAUCAGUGAAACUGAUCUCCCCGUGAAAAAGCGGGGAUUUUACUAUAAGACGAGAAGACCCCGUGGAGCUUUAAGAAUAUAUCAACUGUCAUACCAAUACCACAGAAAUCUGACAGCCCUGACUAUUAACUUUCGGUUGGGGUGACCACGGAGUAAAAUAAAACCUCCGCAAUGAACGAGCCAAGCUCUAAUCUUAGAACUACGCUUCCAAAAAUCAUAACAUUGACAUCUAUUGACCCAAACCUUUGAUCAAUGAACCAAGUUACCCCGGGGAUAACAGCGCAAUCCAUUUUAAGAGCCGGGUUUACGACCUCGAUGUUGGAUCAGGGUAUCCCAGUGGUGCAACCGCUACUAAAGGUUUGUUUGUUCAACAAUUAAAACCCUACGUGAUCUGAGU